rnacentral:lncRNA from 1 species
AAUUAUCCUAGAGAAUUGCUUAUAUUAAAAAGAAGCUGAGAGUUGAAUUGGGAUAGCCAGAAAAAUUGGAGGCUUAAAUAAUUCAUUUUGUCAGGAUUUUUCGGAAAACCCUUC